UCAUCCCUAACCUCAAUUUUCCCUCGUCUCCACCGUGUUCUACAUCUCUACUUUUACAUUUUUCCGAGAGCUGACUGCAUGUAAACACGGAACCGAACAAGACCAUGGACGUCACUUCCGCUCCCAUGUGGAAAUGGGCGGCAGUUUAACUGCUGCACAUUCGAAUCGGUGGGCGGUUUAACGGCUUCAGCAGGCGGACUGGUUUGAUGUCCUUACACCGCUGCUAGCCAAAUCUGCAUAAAAUGGAUUUCCCGCAAUACCCAGAGAUUAAUGAUACAUCAUAUUUCACAAAAGCAUGCUGAAACCAAUAUACCAAAACCUAUUUGCGCAAGUCAGACCUUGGCUUCAUAACAGCAAGCCAGUGUACUUGGUCUGCUGACGUCCAAAGAUUGUCCUCGAGCCCUUGUGAACUUAAAAUAAACCUACAAGUACCAUAACAAGAAACCAGAAGAAAAAAAUCAUCAGGGAUUUCUUUUCUUGAAAACAGUUUUACUUCUAUUUAAAUUUACCAGCUGUAUAUAUAUCUUGGAAAUAGAGCGGCAAAAAAAGGUUAUUUGACUGAGUAGGGCAGUUGAUAAUCUGUGGUAAUGUCAUGA